GAAAUCUACCAGUACGUCCAAAACAGCAUGGCGCCCCACCCUGCGAGGGACUACGUCGUACUGAGGACCUGGAGGACUAACUUGCCCAGGGGAGCCUGUGCUCUCUUAUUCACCUCUGUGGAUCACGACCGGGCACCCGUGGCGGGGGUGAGGGUUAAUGUGCUCCUGUCCAGAUAUUUGAUUGAACCCUGCGGGUCAGGAAAAUCCAAGCUCACCUACAUGUGCAGAGCUGAUUUAAGGUACAUUCUGAUUCUGACCUUUUGAUGUGGGGAUGGUGACGCAGAAGAUGCAGAUUUUCCAUAUGAUUACAAGAAUGGCCAAAGGAAUCUGUCACUGUUUUGGACACGUAUGAAGAGUGGGGCACAUAAAGCAGAACCGUGAUGUUUGCUGUCCUUUGGGGUACUGCUUCCAAACCUUAGGAAAUGUGCUGUUGAAGUGCUGUGAAUCUGGUAGUUUUAUCAUAUAUUUAAAGCCACAGGAAGUGGUAUAUUUUAUAUUGAACCAACAAGUAGAUAUUGCCAGCUUUAUACCGGAAGGUGUUUGAGCAGUGUGCAUGUUUUGCUUUUGUGUGGUAAAUGAACACGAUUCUUCAGAUAUAAAAAUGCCCAACAUUGACUAGUGAAUGAUCACUUCAUAAAAAAAAAAAAAAAAAA
rnacentral:lncRNA from 1 species